AAGUCGUAACAAGGUUCCUUCUCGGAAGCCUUCUGCACAACGACUAUAAUAACUAAGUGCAUAGUCCGCCCUGUUGGUGGCGGGCGACGUCACCUGUAUGCUGGAACGCACGCCCGUGUGACCAGCAACCAACUCACAUAUCCGUCUCGAUAUGUUUUGGUUCACAGAUUAGAUGGUGGCGGUCAGCAUGACGGUUCGUUAGAUGCUCGAAGCCCCCCGAUCCAUUCGUUGCAAAACGGAUCAACUUCUGGGGUAGUCAUCGUGAUGGAUUGAUGGUGAAGAGCUCUGAAGAUGCCGGCGCUGAUCAAGAUAUAAUCGGUCUCUGUAGCUUACAACUACGGUUGAGAAACGUUCCGUAGGUGAACCUGCGGAAGGAUCAUUAUCGAGUUAGGGUCCUCUGGGCCCCACCUCCAACCCUUGUCUACCACGUUGCCCCGGCGCUUUUGCCGGGGUGGCUUAAAAAAUUUCUUUUUAAACUCUUUUAACCAUGACGUCCUACGGGAGAAUAUCAAUAAAUUAAAACUUUCAACAACGGAUCUCUUGGUUCUGGCAUCGAUGAAGAACGCAGCGAAAUGCGAUAAGUAAUGCGAAUUGCAGAAUUCCGUGAGUCAUCGAAUCUUUGAACGCACAUUGCGCCCUUUGGUAUUCCGAAGGGCAUGCCUGUUCGAGCGUCAUUAUCAACCCUCAAGCCCGGCUUGCUGUUGGGUCCCACCGUUGGCGACGGCGGUGGACCCGAAAGAUAAUGGCAGAGUCCGCGAGACCCUGGAUGCAGCGAGCUUCUUCAGCACGCAUCGUAACGGUUUCGUGGCUCCGUCUUAACCAACAAAAUUCAUCUGGUUGACCUCGGAUCAGGUAGGGAUACCCGCUGAACUUAAGCAUAUCAAUAAGCGGAGGAAAAGAAACCAACAGGGAUUGCCUCAGUAACGGCGAGUGAAGCGGCAACAGCUCAAAUUUGAAAUCUGGCCCCUCUGGGGGUCCGAGUUGUAAUUUGUAGAGGAUGCUUCGGGCAAGGCUGCGGUCUAAUUUGCUUGGAACAGCGAGUCACAGAGGGUGAGAAUCCCGUCUCGGACCGUGCGCCGCGUCCAUGUGAAGCUCCUUCGACGAGUCGAGUUGUUUGGGAAUGCAGCUCUAAAUGGGUGGUAAAUUUCAUCUAAAGCUAAAUAUUGGCCAGAGACCGAUAGCGCACAAGUAGAGUGAUCGAAAGAUGAAAAGCACUUUGAAAAGAGAGUUAAACAGUAUGUGAAAUUGUUGAAAGGGAAGCGCUUGCAACCAGACUUGCGUGUGACGGUUCCCCCCACCUUCUGGUGGGGCUACUCCGUCAUCUCCAGGCCAGCAUCGGUUCAGGUGGUCGGUUAAAGACCCCGGGAAUGUAUCUACCUCCGGGUCGACUUAUAGCCCGGGGUGCAAUGCGGCCCACCUGGACCGAGGAACGCGCUUCGGCUCGGAUGCUGGCGUAAUGGUUGUAAGCGGCC
rnacentral:rRNA from 1 species